rnacentral:rRNA from 1 species
AACGAACGCUGGCGGCAGGCUUAACACAUGCAAGUCGAGCGAGACCUCCGGGCCUAGCGGCGGACGGGGGAGUACCGCGUGGGAACGUGCCCUUCUCUACGGAAUACCCCCGGGAAACUGGGCUUAAUACCGAUUACGCCCUUAGGGGGAAGGAUUUAUGGGAGAAGGGUCGGCCCGAGUUGGUUUCGGUGGUUGGUGGGGUAAUGGCCCACCAAGCCGUGGAUCCUUAGCUGGUUGGGGAGGAUGAGCCGCAGCGCUGGAGCUAAGACCCGGCCCAGACUCCUACGAAAGGGAGCGGAGGGUAAUCUUAGACAAGGGCGGCAGUCCUAAUGAGGCCAUGCGCGGGAAGUGAGGAUGGCCUUAGGGUUGUAAAGCUCUUUCAGCUGGGAAGAUAAUGACGGUACCAGCAGAAGAAGCCCCGGCUAACUCCGUG